GUAGGAAAGCACUGGGUGUUAUCGUCACGUAGACUACCCUCUCCCCUGACCUCUAGCGCUUUUUCGAGUGUUUGGUUAUAUUCGCAAAGGAAGCACAGGGAGGGAUAAGAAUGCCGAAGGUGAGGGUGGAGGAUGAGCAUCAGGGUGAAUAUACGCCUGAGGGUGAAUCGUGACGUCACUCCUUGUUUACAAGCCUUUCCUUGCCAUUCUUUCUCACCGUGCGGAAUCCUUCUUGACUUUCUCUUUUUCUUUUACGAGGCCACCUCGCCCACGAUCAGGACUCUAAAGGACCGAGGUUCCUGGCCUUACUCGGAUCCUUCCUUUCAACCUCGCUACAGGAUCCUGGCUAAAAGGAUGCGUGCCUCCUAGGGAUAUUGCUUUUUUACAUCCUUUUAGCGGUCGCUCAAAGAAUCCUUCAGUCUGCCGUCUGCCUGGGAGAUUAACAGCACAGAAUACGAACUUCGUCUCGAAGCGCCAUUAUUUUCCAGAUUCUCGUGGGAUUACAAUCGGAUUUGAACUGGCUCGAUUCUUGACUGACCCACUUCCUAGAAUAUCCGGGACUCGCUGCUGCUGCUGCUGCUGCAAUCUACAGGACUCCGUGGCUCUUGACAUUUCUCACGGUAAUCGAUACAACGGUAUAAGGAUCGUCACGUAUAUUGCGUAUACGAUAUAGGGAAUCACAUUCGGCUCAUAAAGCAAAGAAGCAUGAGUCGGAGAUUAGCCUUUGAUCGAAUCGCCUUGUGAUUUCAGCCAAAAGAGAGCUUCGUCAUUCUAGGCUAUAUCCGGUGGACAGGAAGUAAAGAAUAUUCCUUGAGGGUGUGAGGCGUGACUGGCACGAUACCCGUAAUUGC